rnacentral:rRNA from 1 species
UCUUCUUGUGGAAGAAACUUCCGGGGCAUUUAGAGGGGCUCGCGGCCUAUCAGCUAGUUGGUGGGGUAACGGCCCACCAAGGCUACGACGGGUAGCUGGUCUGAGAGGAUGGCCAGCCACAUUGGGACUGAGAAACGGCCCAGACUCCUACGGGAGGCAGCAUGUGGGGAAUCUUGCGCAAUGGCCGAAAGGCUGACGCAGCGACGCCGCGUGUGGGAGGAAGCCCUUCGGGGUGUAAACCACUGUUGCCCGGGACGUACAUCCACUUUCGAGUGGACUGACGGUACCGGGUGA